GCAAGCAGCUUGCUGCUUUGCUGACGAGUGGCGGACGGGUGAGUAAUGUCUGGGAAACUGCCUGAUGGAGGGGGAUAACUACUGGAAACGGUAGCUAAUACCGCAUAACGUCGCAAGACCAAAGAGGGGGACCUUCGGGCCUCUUGCCAUCGGAUGUGCCCAGAUGGGAUUAGCUAGUAGGUGGGGUAACGGCUCACCUAGGCGACGAUCCCUAGCUGGUCUGAGAGGAUGACCAGCCACACUGGAACUGAGACACGGUCCAGACUCCUACGGGAGGCAGCAGUGGGGAAUAUUGCACAAUGGGCGCAAGCCUGAUGCAGCCAUGCCGCGUGUAUGAAGAAGGCCUUCGGGUUGUAAAGUACUUUCAGCGGGGAGGAAGGGAGUAAAGUUAAUACCUUUGCUCAUUGACGUUACCCGCAGAAGAAGCACCGGCUAACUCCGUGCCAGCAGCCGCGGUAAUACGGAGGGUGCAAGCGUUAAUCGGAAUUACUGGGCGUAAAGCGCACGCAGGCGGUUUGUUAAGUCAGAUGUGAAAUCCCCGGGCUCAACCUGGGAACUGCAUCUGAUACUGGCAAGCUUGAGUCUCGUAGAGGGGGGUAGAAUUCCAGGUGUAGCGGUGAAAUGCGUAGAGAUCUGGAGGAAUACCGGUGGCGAAGGCGGCCCCCUGGACGAAGACUGACGCUCAGGUGCGAAAGCGUGGGGAGCAAACA
rnacentral:rRNA from 1 species